UACAGAGGGUGCGAGCGUUAAUCGGAAUUACUGGGCGUAAAGCGCGCGUAGGCGGCUUUGCAAGUCGGGUGUGAAAUCCCCAGGCUUAACCUGGGAACUGCAUUCGAGACUGCAUUGCUAGAGUAUGGGAGAGGGAAGUGGAAUUUCCGGUGUAGCGGUGAAAUGCGCAGAUAUCAGGAGGAACACCGGUGGCGAAGGCGGGUCUCUGGGCCGAUACUGACGCUGAGGAGCGAAAGCGUGGGGAGCAAACAGG
rnacentral:rRNA from 1 species